rnacentral:tRNA from 11 species
CGCGGGGUGGAGCAGUUGGCAGCUCGUCGGGCUCAUAACCCGAAGGUCGCAGGUUCGAGUCCUGCCUCCGCAACCA